rnacentral:rRNA from 1 species
UACGUAGGUGGCAAGCGUUGUCCGGAUUUAUUGGGUUUAAAGGGUGCGUAGGCGGCCCUGUAAGUCAGUGCUGAAAUAUCCCGGCUUAACCGGGAGGGUGGCAUUGAUACUGCGGGGCUAGAGUACAGAUGAGGUAGGCGGAAUUGACGGUGUAGCGGUGAAAUGCGUAGAUAUCGGGAGGAACACCAGUGGCGAAGGCGGCCUUCUGGGCCUGUCCUGACGCUGAGGCGCGAAAGCGUGGGGAGCGAACCGG